rnacentral:rRNA from 1 species
CACGUAGUUAGCCGUGGCUUUCUGAUUAGGUACCGUCAAGACGUGCACAGUUACUUACACAUUUGUUCUUCCCUAAUAACAGAGUUUUACGAUCCGAAGACCUUCAUCACUCACGCGGCGUUGCUCCGUCAGGCUUUCGCCCAUUGCGGAAGAUUCCCUACUGCUGCCUCCCGUAGGAAUCUGGACCGUGUCUCAGUUCCAGUGUGGCCGAUCACCCUCUCAGGUCGGCUACGUAUCGUUGCCUUGGUAAGCCAUUACCCCACCAACUAGCUAAUACGGCGCGGGUCCAUCUAUAAGUGAUAGUAAACCAUCUUUCACUUUAGAACCUAUGCGGUUACUAAAUACUUAUCCGGCUAGUUACGCCCCCGGUUUCCCGGAGUUACUUCCAGUUCUUAUUAGGUACGGUUACCCGUACGUUAGUUACCUCACCCCGUCCGCCGCGUUAAACCGU